rnacentral:rRNA from 1 species
AACCUGGUUGAUCCUGCCAGUAGUCAUAUGCUUGCUUCAAGGAUUAAGCCAUGCAAGUGUCGAGUAAAUAACUGCACAGUUGAUCUGCGUACAGCUCAUUACACCAGUCGUAAUCUACCUGCAUGAAUGAUUUCUGUCAUCGAGUGGAUAACUUCAGUAACUCCGAAGCUAAUACAUGGACGAGAAAUCGAGGAUCCGUUCAGCGUGAGGUAGAAAUACCGAUCGUGGAUUCCCGAUGCUUUUGGUCGUAAUAGAAACUGGUCAAGAACAUUGAAUCUAUUGUGGCAUCAGACCAUUCUGUGCAAGGAAACUGCAGCUUGCUGCAUUCCGUGUGCGGUUGAGCGACUGACCUAUCAGCUUGUUUGCAAUGUAUUGGACUGCAGAGGCUUUGACGGGUAACGGAGAAUCAGGGUUCGAUUCCGGAGAGGGAGCCUGAGAAACGGCUGCCAUGUCUAAGGACAGCAGCAGGCGCGCAAAUUGCCCAAUACUAGCAUGAGCGAGGCAGCGACGAGAAGUAUUUACCUUGUGAUACUUUGUAUCACGAGGAUAGAAAUGGGUGAUAUCCAAAACCAUCACUGAGGAUCGAUUGGAGGGCAAGUCUGGUGCCAGCAGCCGCGGUAAUUCCAGCUCCAAUAGCGUAUACUAAUGCUGUUGCUGUUAAAAAGCUCGUAGUUCGACAAGGAUCGGAUCUGGUUCUGAUUCAGCGAUUCGUAACUCUGUUGCAGUCGUUCGAUGAAGGCCGUUUGGAUCUGGUUCUGCAAUGAGGGACUUGCAUGGAUGAAGAGCUCUUCAUUGAGCUUGGAUUCGAUUCCGCAGUCAACAUCUGCACAAGUGCAGUCCUUCGCGAUACCGUGAACAAAACAGCGUGCUCAAAGCAAGUGAUUCUGCUCGAAUGUUCAAGCAUGGAAAUAUCAAGGGAAGCGACCGUGAAGUCUAAUCCUUUGCUGGGUUUCUGUGAUCCCUCCUUGGGGAAUUUAGAACCUGAGAAUAAUGCCCUUGUUUGUGCAAGUUACCUUUCGGGUGCUUGCGGAUAAAGGCUAAGCUCUAGUUUGCCCGGUAUUAACAGGGACGAACGGAGCAGUGUGUAUUGGUUGCGUUAGAGGUGAAAUUCUUAGAUCGCACCAAGACAAACAUAAGCGAAGGCAUUCUGCAAGUAUAUCUUCACUAAUCAAGAACGAGAGUGCAGGGAUCGAAGAUGAUCAGAUACCGUCGUAGUCUGCUACUGUAAACGAUGCGAACUCGGGAUCAGCUGUCGCCAAUCAUUUUGAUUACCAGGCUGGAACCUACUUAUUCUCCACUAGCGCGAAAGCUUUAAGUUUAUGCGUUCAGGGGGGAGUACAGUUGCAAGGCUGAAACUUAAAGGAAUUGACGGAAUGACACCACAAGGCGUGGAUGCUGCGGCUUAAUUUGACUCAACACGGGAAAUCUCACCAGGUCAGGACGCACGUUGGAUUGACAGAUUGAAAGCUCUUUCUUGAUUGUGUGUAUGGUGGUGCAUGGCCGCUCUUUGUUCGUGGAUUGAUCUGUCAGGUUGAUUCCGGUAACGAACGAGAUCUUGGCCUUUUAAUGACAGCUGGAUCGUCUUGUAGUCCAAUGUUGAUGCGCUUGCGUACUCACGUUGUAUGAGAUCUUGACAUGUACUUAAAGGGACUAUGCGUGUUUACAGUGCAUGGAAGUGCGAGCCUAUAGCAGGUCUGUGAUGCUCCUAGAUGUCCUGGGCUGCACGCGGCAUACAAUGGUGAAGUAAACGAGUUUGGUUUGUUUGAGCUCCUUGUGCGAAAUCAUUGGGAAAUCUGUGUAACCUUCAUCGUAAUGGGGAUAGUUGCUUGCAAUUAUUUGCCUUGAACCAGGAAUGCCUUGUAGACUCGACUCAGCAAGUCGAAUCGAAUACGUCCCUGCCGUUUGUACACACCGCCCGUCGUUGCAAUCGAUCGGUUCAAUGCUAGAGGUUUUCCAGAGGUGAGAUUGUUCAACUUGUUGUCUGUCUUGCUUAAGUUAAUCAAUAGCCUUGAACUAGAGAAUGCAAAAGUCGUAACAAGGUUGCUGUAGGUGAACCUGCAGAAGGAUCA